rnacentral:lncRNA from 1 species
GUCACAAUUUCAAACCGAUCUUCACCAAACUUCACCACAUGGUAGAAUUUGCCAUAAGGAAGUGGCCUAUUGUUUUUGAGGUCAAAAGAUCAAGAUAGGUGAAAGGUCUCAACAACUUAGGUGAGAUUUAUAAAUCCUCAGUUUUCAUCUGAUUGACUUGGAAUUUGAAGAGCAUUUAUAUUUCAGGUGAUUGAAUUCAACCAGCCAAUUAUUUUUUAGGUCAAAUUUAAUUUAUGGAUUUUGCAAGUAUUGUGUGAUACAAACACAUCUUUCCUGUUUGUGUUUUGCUUGUUUGUGUGCAGGAUAUCUGAAGAAGUUGUGGACAGAUUCUGAUCAAAUUUGGUGGGCGACCGAACCUCAACAGGUGGUCGUGAUGUCCGACCCCCGACUGUACUGAGUGUGGGACCGACGACGAGUCGCCAUUGUAUGGACACACGUUUGUAUCACACAGUCACACAGCCACACGUCACAAAGGCGCACUCAUAUUUUUUUAGACAUUGUGGUUUCCGUUCCGAGGACAAGAUCGAAGACGCGUCAUGUUAUCAUUCCCAAAUAUGGGCAUGCAGCGGCGCGAGAUCUCGUCGCUCCUUGAAAUAUCGGUCCAAACGUCCAAAGUGGAACUUCUCACCAACAUCACCCGGACACGGUUCGCCGCGACGCCAAUUGGCACGAAAGUCCAAACUCUCGUUAGUUUCGAUAAACUUUCGUUUGGCACGACGUUGGGAGGGUGACGUCACGACGCGAGUGGAAAUGAAUGACGUCAGUCAUGUGAAUCGAAAUCCUCGCGACAAUGGUGUGGGGGAGGGGAGUUUCCAGGAGGGCGUGGCCUAUUUUUUGACAGGUUAACUAAGCCCGAAAUCAACGGGGAAUUGUUCUCAGAGUGUUUGAGAGCGUCGAGCCGGAUCAUGGUUUCUGUUGAGCUGUUCGUUUGCGCUUCGAGUCUCAUCAUCAUCACUUCGCUUUACCCAGGCGUCACUGUUGCAGAAGAUUCGCCAAGUCAAGAUGAAAUCAAGAAGCGCUGCGGAUUUACGCCGAAUGAAAUAUACGAUUGCAAGCAACAACGAUGCUUGAACGCAUCCGUUGUCUGUGCAGGAAAGUCUGAACAAACCUGGAUAGAAUGUCAAGCAGAAGUUUGUGCCAAUGCCAGAAGGACGUGUGAAGAGCCUCUGAACCAACAACUUUCCAAGUUUGAAAUGUGUUUGGCUGACCAAAUCAUAUUGGUGGACAUGGAUUGCCUGAAGAACAUGUCAACGUUGUCGCAUUUUCAAGAAUGUAAAUCCGAAGGUUACAACAGAGUGGAGUCCAAGUGUUUCAAAGACUCGUGGAAGAUGAAGUUCAUGGAAGAACAACAUGCACAAGAAUCGGAGGCCGACUGUGCUGUGGAGAAAUGCUACGAGAACACCGUAAAGUGCUUCCAAAGUCUUCUUCACGACCAAGUGGAACAGCCUAGUAAACACAGGAAGUUUGACGUCGCUCGCUGCACAUACGUCCAAAACGAAAUGUAUAGUUGUCACAAUACCCACUGCUCUUCUGAACUCGAAGACUGUCGGCAACAGGUGUCUCAUGCCGGUCUGGUUGUUUUCCUGGUACUGAGUCUCGGUUUCGGCAUGAUCGGCCUUGCAUUCUACCUGAAACGGAGAGGGAUAACUGUGCCAUAUGAACGACAGCGUGACCACGAUGUUGUGUAGCAGCUGCUUUUGUGAUGAAAAUCAAAAUCCACAAUCAAUUGUGCUGAAAAUAUUUAUUUAUAUUUGUGCUUUUUUUCAGCUAUUGCAUAAUUGAUGUUCAGUGUGUGUGUAAAAAAAAAAAAAAAAACCCCCCCCCCCCCCCCCCCCCCCCCCCCCCCCCUGUUGAACUAUUUGAAUCCCGACCCAGCUAUGGAUGUUAAGCUGGAGUACGUAUCUGCCAACAAUGGUUAUCGGUAGCAGUUUAAGAUCCCACAAUGUCUUCCAUAAAGAGUAGGCAAGCUAUCUCUCACACCCUGAACAAAUUAUAAACUCCUGCCACCUUCAAUUGACCACCACGCCUGGCUAUCCCAUUUGUGAAAGAAUGUCUUGGGCAAAAAAAAAAAAAACCUUUUCCAGACAAUCGCAGAGUAGUCCAAUUGUCGCCAUCAAAAUUGUCACAGCAUCAAGAUGGCCUAAAGGUACGCGCACUCGCCUCCACGCCAUUUAGCCCGGGUUUGAAUCCCGACCCAGCUGUAAACUGUCAUCCCGGUGAUUCAUCAACACGCUUGGAUUUACGUUAAACUGGUGUCCCGUCUGCUGGCAUUAAUUGGUGGAUGUUAAAAGCCCCACGGUGUCCUUCACGAAGAGGAGGCGAGCUAUCGCCGGCACCGUGGCCAAAUUCCUGCCCUAACAACCUUAGUUGAAGGUCAGGCCUGGUGAGCCGUUUUAUGAAAAAAAACAUGGGAAUAAUUGUGGCCGUUGAAGGAGGAGCUUGUUGCUCGUGAUAAUGUAAAUACAAGGCCAACAAUUUUUAUAAAAAACAUUUUGCAAUAAAGUUAUUUUCUAAAGGGUUGUCUUUGUUGUUUAUGUAAACCAUGAAGGUCCAUUUACAUGUAAUACUGGCAUGGAGGGGUUUACAAUGCAAGUUCACAAACAACAGGUAGAGUUUAGUCAAUCACCAUGGAUGAUGUCACAUUCCAUUAAACUGCAAAAAAAAAAAAGUUUCAACAUCUUACUUUAACAUUUGCAAAGAGAAAAAUACUUUCCUUUCUAUACAUAAAAUAAGAUUCCUAAUCAUGGAACAGCUUCAAUAGAAUAAAAAAACAACACAACGAGAGUAAACCACAAGGUUUCGGAAAACGAAUGAGAACCAAAGGAACGAGAACGGCACUUGCUAGAGUACAUAGUCUCACCUCACGGGCUCAUUCUGAACAAAAAUACCAUCGUAAACUGGACACGAUGGUCACAUGCAUUGCCAUCAUCCAUAGCUUUAUUGAAUACUAUAUGGAGUACCCGGCGUUUCCCAGGUGGACCUGCUGAACAUCCGCGCAAUGUAAAAUGUGACUUCAAGUCCUGAACUCUCUCUCCCCUCCAAAACCCCAAGUCCUCAUCCUCACCCUCCUCUCCCAACUUAAAGGCAUCAAUCUCCUCCCCACUCCAGGCCUUCAAACCCCCUCCCUAACACAACUCAACCCCCUCACCCCACAGAAAGUCCUCACGCCCACAAAAGCCUCAACCUCCCCCUCCCAACUCUGUUCGAGCUUUUCUCUCCAACCCCAUCUCUGUCCUCUCCUCACUCAUUAAAAGCAAACAGGCAUUUCUACAUUAAAACAGCAGAAUAUUUAACACUUUUCCCUCCCCUUUCAUGCCAUCGACGACUUCACAGAAACCGCGAUCGAAACAGCCAUGGCCCAUCACGGUCGCCUGUCCAACUCUCAAUCCUGUGAGAUAUGUGGAACCCCCGUGGAAUCGCAACUGCGAAGUGACCAUGAGACCCAAAACGAAUUAUCUUCAUCCUGAUGCAUAUAUACACUUUGUUAAAAGUAAAUAAUGACGGUUUGACGACGAUCCAUUCAGCCAUCUCUGAGAAUGGUGACACACAAACACCUCUCUUUUUGUAUAGAUUAGGAUAUUUAAUGAUCACUCUUGUGCACAUUAAGGCUAAAUUGCAUCAAUGAAGGUGAAUAUGGAAAAAAAAACUUCAAACUAUAUUCCCUAUGGCCAGUCGAUCAGUGUUGCAGUUAUGGAAGAAGGACCCUGGGGAGUGACAUCCAACACAUAAGCCAUGUGGGGAGUGACAUCCAACACAUAAGCCAUGUGCCCCCCCCCCCCCCCCCCCCCCCCCCCCCCCCCCCCCCCCCCCCCCCCCCCCCCCCCCCCCCCCCCCCCCCCCCCCCCCCCCCCCCCCCCCCCCCCCCCCCCCCCCCCCCCCCCCCCCCCCGGAGUGACAUCCAACACAUAAGCCAUGUGGGGAGUGACAUCCAACACAUAAGCCAUGUGGGGAGUGACAUCCAACACAUAAGCCAUGUGAGGAAUGACAUCCAACACAUAAGCCAUGUGGGGAGUGACAUCCAACACAUAAGCCAUGUGGGGAGUGAGCGAGGCUGCCCAGUCAACGAUGGCACAUGCGCACCAAUGGGAGGCAACGCGGCAGGGGUCAAAGUGUGCUGUGGCAAUCUCUGCUCCCAGACGCUCCAUCUGAGCACCAAUAAGUCAGUGCACGCUGGAGUUCAGUGCCUCUUUGACGCACCCAGGACCCUCCAG